GUAAAACCCCCAACUUCUGAAAAUUUGACCUCG
rnacentral:rRNA from 1 species